UGGGGAAUAUUGCACAAUGGGCGCAAGCCUGAUGCAGCAACGCCGCGUGAAGGAAGAAGGUUUUCGGAUUGUAAACUUCUAUCAACAGGGACGAAGAAAGUGACGGUACCUGAAUAAGAAGCCCCGGCUAACUACGUGCCAGCAGCCGCGGUAAAACGUAGGGGGCAAGCGUUAUCCGGAAUUACUGGGUGUAAAGGGUGAGUAGGCGGCAUGGCAAGCCAGAUGUGAAAGCCCGCAGCUUAACUGCGGGAUUGCAUUUGGAACUGCUGAGCUAGAGUACAGGAGAGGUAAGCGGAAUUCCUAGUGUAGCGGUGAAAUGCGUAGAUAUUAGGAAGAACACCGGUGGCGAAGGCGGCUUACUGGACUGAAACUGACGCUGAGGCACGAAAGCGUGGGGAGCAAACAGG
rnacentral:rRNA from 1 species